UACGAAGGGGGCUAGCGUUGUUCGGAAUUACUGGGCGUAAAGGGCGCGCAGGCGGCCCUCCAAGUCAGGCGUGAAAGCCCCGGGCUCAACCCGGGAACAGCGCUUGAGACUGGGGGGCUUGAGUUCGGGAGAGGAGAGUGGAAUUCCGGGUGUAGCGGUGGAAUGCGUAGAGAUCCGGAAGAACACCGGUGGCGAAGGCGGCCUGCUGGGCUAUGGCUGACACUGAGGCGCGACAGCGUGGGGAGCAAACAGG
rnacentral:rRNA from 1 species